AUUGAACGCUGGCGGCAGGCCUAACACAUGCAAGUCGAGCGGAGCGGCGGACGGGUGAGUAAUGACUAGGAAUCUGCCUGGUAGUGGGGGAUAGAGUCCGGAACCGGGCGCUAAUACCGCAUACUAUCAGAUGAGCCUAGGUCGGAUUAGCUAGUUGGUGGGGUAAAGGCCUACCAAGGCGACGAUCCGUAACUGGUCUGAGAGGAUGAUCAGUCAAACUGGAACUGAUACACGGUCCAGACUCGUACGGGAGGCAUCAGGGGGGAAUAUUGGACAGUGGGCGAAAGUCGGAUCCAGCCAUGCCGCGUGUAUGAAGAAGGUCUGCGGAUUGUAAAGUACUUUCAGUUGGGAGGUGUUACCAUCAGAAGAAGCACCGGCUAACUCCGUGCCAGCAGCCGCGGUAAUAC
rnacentral:rRNA from 1 species